AUUGAACGCUGGCGGCAUGCCUUACACAUGCAAGUCGAACGGCAGCAUGGAAGAGCUUGCUCUUCUGAUGGCGAGUGGCGAACGGGUGAGUAAAGCAUCGGAACGUACCGUGUAGUGGGGGGAUAACGUAGCGAAAGUUACGCUAAUACCGCAUACGCACUGAGGUGGAAAGCAGGGGAUCGCAAGACCUUGCGCUAUACGAGCGGCCGAUGUCAGAUUAGCUAGUUGGUAAGGUAAAGGCCUACCAAGGCGACGAUCUGUAGCGGGUCUGAGAGGAUGAUCCGCCACACUGGGACUGAGACACGGCCCAGACUCCUACGGGAGGCAGCAGUGGGGAAUUUUGGACAAUGGGCGAAAGCCUGAUCCAGCCAUGCCGCGUGAGUGAAGAAGGCCU
rnacentral:rRNA from 1 species